rnacentral:rRNA from 1 species
GUAGGUGGCAAGCGUUGUCCGGAAUUAUUGGGCGUAAAGCGCGCGCAGGCGGGUUCUUUAAGUCUGAUGUGAAAGCCCACGGGCUCAACCGUGGAGGGUCAUUGGAAACUGGGGAACUUGAGUACAGAAGAGGAAAGCGGAAUUCCACGUGUAGCGGUGAAAUGCGUAGAGAUGUGGAGGAACGCCAGUGGCGAAGGCGGCUUUCUGGUCUGUAACUGACGCUGAGGCGCGAAAGCGUGGGGAGCAAACAGGAUUAGAUACCCUGGUAGUCCACGCCGUAAACGAUGAGUGCUAAGUGUUAGGGGGUUUCCGCCCCUUAGUGCUGCAGCUAACGCAUUAAGCACUCCGCCUGGGGAGUACGGCCGCAAAGGCUG